GGCCUGAUACAUUCCUCCCACACUGAGGUGUGACAGCCUACCUCCUGCAUUUACAUUUCAAGGGAGGAUUUCUUUCAUGCAAGCUCCCAGAUGCUCCUGGCGCUCCCUUGAUGUCCUACUGCCCCACUCAGACGCCCAGUGACCUGGACCGCCGAGGCUCUGAAUACCUGGCCUGGAGCAGCCCUCAGCUCUCCCCUCCAACAGGGACAAGGCAUGUGAGCAGAGCUGCAUAACUUUAUGUCUGCAAAGUUUCCUUUCUGGAGGAACUGCCUUACUGAGAGCUGGGAGGGCCC